AUGUGAGUGUCGCAUCUUAUUUCAGCGAGGAUCUUUGUGAGGAGCCCGUGGAGCUUGGCACAGGUGGAGGAGCAGCAGAAUCUUCAGUCUACGCUAGAUUGACUGAAGAUUCUACUGGUGUAUGCUAGAUGGUUGCAUACACCGGUAGUCACUCUGGCCUCUCCUGUUGUGAACAGUUUUCUGAGAACGUUUCUGUGUCUACUAGAAGUCACCUGGUCUCUGUGUUUGUUCGAUCCUAGGGGUUUUGUCGCCUCAUUCGAGAACUCACCAGUGAAUACCUGCCUGCUCGCUCCGCCGAUUCCACUGCCUCCACUCCACCCUUCGAGCUUCCAGCUCUCUUCCAUUCCCACCUCGCAUUUACCUUCGGAACCGCUGCACACCCUCUCUCCCUAACCCGCACCGAAGCUUCAAGAGGAUCAGCGUGUGAAGAUCACUUUAUAAUGAUUUGAAAAAGGUUGCCAUGGCUACAGAAAUUGGAGGAGCAUCCUUAGAUGACACAAUACAACCAGCUGUGCGAUUCCUCAUGUCCCAUGAACUGGAAGUCCAGUUCAACCUUUUUGGCCAACAUUGGAAACAAGCUCUUGGACCUGCGUCUCUUUGAUGUUUUGUAUGGGGACUUAAAAGAAAUUAUCCAUCUACAGAAUCACACAAGCAUACAGCAAAGACUCUCGAAGUGGUUUACUGGAGCCCGAGUGGAAGUGGAAAUAGACUAGAGAGACUGCCAGUUCAAACUCAGGU